rnacentral:rRNA from 1 species
GGGUUAGUAGAUUGGUCAUGCCACUGGUAUGUACUGGUCUUACUGGCUCCUCCUUCCUGAUGAACCGUAGUGCCAUUAAUUUGGUGUUGCGGGGAGACUGGACUGUUACUUUGAAAAAAUUAGAGUGUUUAAAGCAGGCUAAUGCUUGAAUACGUUAGCAUGGAAUAAUGAAAUAGGACGUUCGAUCCUAUUUUGUUGGUUUCUAGGAUUGACGUA